rnacentral:rRNA from 1 species
AUUGAACGCUGGCGGCAUGCUUUACACAUGCAAGUCGAACGGCAGCGCGGGCUUCGGCCUGGCGGCGAGUGGCGAACGGGUGAGUAAUACAUCGGAACGUGCCCAGUAGUGGGGGAUAGCUCGGCGAAAGCCGGAUUAAUACCGCAUACGACCUGAGGGUGAAAGCGGGGGAUCUUCGGACCUCGCGCUAUUUGAGCGGCCGAUGGCAGGUUGGCUAGUUGGUGGGGUAAAGGCCUACCAAGGCGACGAUCUGUAGCUGGUCUGAGAGGACGACCAGCCACCCGGGAACUGAGAAACGGCCCAGACUCUUAGGGAGGGCAGCAGUGGGAAAUUUUGGACAAGGGGCGAAAGCCUGAUCCAGCAAGGCCGCGUGGGUGAGGAAGGCCUUCGGGUGGUAAAGCACUUUUGGCGGGAACGAAAAGGACUGUACCAAUACCACGGUUCGAGGACGGGACCCGCAGAAUAAGCACCGGCAAACUACGG